rnacentral:rRNA from 1 species
GGCCAGACUCCUACGGGAGGCAGCAGUGGGGAAUAUUGCACAAUGGGGGAAACCCUGAUGCAGCGACGCCGCGUGAGCGAUGAAGUAUUUCGGUAUGUAAAGCUCUCUCAGCAGGGAAGAAAAUGACGGUACCUGACUAAGAAGCCCCGGCUAACUACGUGCCAGCAGCCGCGGUAAUACGUAGGGGGCAAGCGUUAUCCGGAUUUACUGGGUGUAAAGGGAGCGUAGACGGCAUGGCAAGUCUGAAGUGAAAGCCCGGGGCUCAACCGCGGGACUGCUUUGGAAACUGUUAAGCUGGAGUGCAGGAGAGGUAAGUGGAAUUCCUAGUGUAGCGGUGAAAUGCGUAGAUAUUAGGAGGAACACCAGUGGCGAAGGCGGCUUACUGGACUGUAACUGACGUUGAGGCUCGAAAGCGUGGGGAGCAAACAGGAUUAGAUACCCCUGUA